GAUUAUGGCUCAGGAUGAACGCUAGCGACAGGCUUAACACAUGCAAGUCGAGGGGCAGCAUAGAAGUAGCAAUACUUGGUGGCGACCGGCGCACGGGUGAGUAACGCGUAUGCAACCUACCUAUCAGAGGGGAAUAACCCGGCGAAAGUCGGACUAAUACCGCAUAAAACAGGGGCACCGCAUGGUGAUAUUUGUUAAAGAAAUUCGCUGAUAGAUGGGCAUGCGUUCCAUUAGGUAGUUGGUGAGGUAACGGCUCACCAAGCCGACGAUGGAUAGGGGAACUGAGAGGUUGGUCCCCCACACUGGUACUGAGACACGGACCAGACUCCUACGGGAGGCAGCAGUGAGGAAUAUUGGUCAAUGGGCGGGAGCCUGAACCAGCCAAGUCGCGUGAAGGAAGAAGGAUCUAUGGUUCGUAAACUUCUUUUGCAGGGGAAUAAAGUGCAGGACGUGUCCUGUUUUGUAUGUACCCUGAGAAUAAGGAUCGGCUAACUCCGUGCCAGCCGCCGC
rnacentral:rRNA from 1 species